CCUACGGGAGGCAGCAGUGGGGGAUAUUGCACAAUGGGGGAAACCCUGAUGCAGCGACGCCGCGUGGGUGAAGAAGCGCCUCGGCGCGUAAAGCCCUGUCAGCAGGGAAGAAAAUGACGGUCACUGAAGAAGAAGCCCCGGCUAACUACGUGCCAGCAGCCGCGGUCAGACGUAGGGGGCAAGCGUUAUCCGGAUUUUCUGGGUGUAAAGGGGGCGCAGACGGCGAUGCAAGCGAGGAGUGAAAGCCCGGGGCCCAACCCCGGGACUGCACUUGGAACUGCGUGGCUAGAGUGCAGGAGGGGCAGGCGGAAUUCCUGGUGUAGCGGUGAAAUGCGUAGAUAUCAGGAGGAACACCGGUGGCGAAGACGGCCUGCUGGACUGUAACUGACGUUGAGGCCCGAAAGCGUGGGGAGCAAACAGGAUUAGAUACCCUAGUAGUC
rnacentral:rRNA from 1 species